UACGGGGGGAGCAAGCGUUGUUCGGAUUUACAGGGCGUAAAGGGCGCGUAGGCGGCCAGCGCAAGUCAGUUGUGAAAUCUCCGGGCUUAACUCGGAACGGUCAACUGAUACUGCGCGGCUAGAGUGCAGAAGGGGCAACUGGAAUUCUCGGUGUAGCGGUGAAAUGCGUAGAUAUCGAGAGGAACACCUGCGGCGAAGGCGGGUUGCUGGGCUGACACUGACGCUGAUGCGCGAAAGCCAGGGGAGCGAACGGG
rnacentral:rRNA from 1 species